rnacentral:rRNA from 1 species
CCUACGGGAGGCAGCAGUGGGGAAUAUUGCACAAUGGGGGAAACCCUGAUGCAGCGACGCCGCGUGAGUGAAGAAGUAAUUCUUUAUGUAAAGCUCUAUCAGCAGGGAAGAAAAUGACGGUACCUGAGUAAGACGCCCCGGCUAACUCCGUUCCAGCAGCCGCGGUAAUACGUAGGGGGCAAGCGUUAUCCGGAUUUACUGGGUGUAAGGGGAGCGUAGACGGCAGUGCAAGUCUGGAGUGAAAGGCGGGGGCUCAACCCCCGGACUGCUCUGGAAACUGUACGGCUGGAGUGAAGGGGAGGGAAGUGGAAUUCCGGGUGUAGCGGUGAAAUGCGUAGAUAUUAAGAGGAACACCAGUGGCGAAGGCGGCUAACUGGACUGUAACUGACGUUGAGGCUCGAAAGCGUGGGGAGCAAACAGGAUUAGAUACCCCAGUAGU